ensembl:lncRNA
GUUUGGGUGGCGCCACAGGUGCACGGCGCGCUGCGCUCAUGUACGUGUCUGACUUUGUCCAGAAAUGAAAAAAGACGCGAAUACAGGAAAUCCAAAUGAUGACAUCACCUGUUGCUGUUAUUCUCAGGUAGAAAAAAUAGAUAAAUAUGAAAUAAACUAUGAAUUAAAACGGGCUUCUGUUGUUGUCGGGUUACUACUUUAUAGAGGAAAUUUCUCGCGGAUAUCCGGGGGGCGGAUGUGAGAAAUAAUUUAGAUUUCCCGAAGUAAAUAGUCAAAUAUUAAAGUUUAAGAUAAAAAAAAAAGUAAUAAUAAUAUUUGCACCUAAACUGUGUUUGUUAUUCCGCUGGAAUCUCCUGAUAUUGCUCCUGAAAAUCGAGAAGUAACGGCGCACAUACGGUGCAGUAUGUCUGCACGUUAUCCUUGAAAGGUACACAGUGUUACCCCGAGGCCCAAUAAUUAGCUCUGCUGGCUGGAUUCUUCUGGAUUGAACCCGAACGGACACAAAUUAUUUUUACUGUACUCGUGCAUGCGCACAAAUGUUUGUCAGAGCAAGUUCAUCCUUAUUUACAGCGAUCCUCUUAAACCUGCAUUUGAUGUUUUACGAAUCUUUCCGACAAACAAGGUGACUGCAAAAUCCACAUUUAUGUUUUUUUUCUUUAAGCUUAUUGUAUUAUUAUUAGAUUCAUCCGCUCAAAUCUAAACAUUUAGGAAGUUCCAUGUAUUAUUUGUAGUUUUUUAAAUCAAACAAACAAACAAACAUUUGUUUGGCACAUCGAGCAAACAAUCGCUCAACUUAUAUUUGUAUUUUUGUUUUUAAAAACUACAAUAAAGUCUCUUUUUUGCGCGCAGUUUUACCAAAUAAAUCCAAGAAGGAGAUUCCACUCUGUUUAUGUGCAUGCUUGUGGUUCGGAACAGCAGGUCUAAAUUCAUCCUAAUCAGCAAACAUUCGGAUGUGUUGACAGCAUGGAGAGAUUAAAUUAGCAGCUGCAGCGCCGGGAACAUUGAAUCAUAUUAAGGAUCAGCAGCAGAGGAGCGGAGGAAGAGGAGAGGCUGUACCUGCAGGCCUCUGCUUUCAGGAACCCGGUACCGCAAAACAUCAGGACAUCCACUAAAUAGCCCACAGAAAACCUCUCACCCAGGGCAGGGAAGUUUAAACAAAUACGCUUUAUUCUUAUUUCGAUUCUUAUGAAAACACCUGGAGAAUGAAAACGUUAAAACAGCCUGAAAAUCACUUAAAACGCGACAGAAACAGCGAAGCUGCAGUAAAUUAAAAUCACGCCUGAACGACAGAUAUCCGAAAUAUCGGUUUUUUUUUUUAACCUCUUGAAAGAUCGAAUUACGCAACAGAGACACGUCACGUCUGAUCACACGCACUGCAUAUGAAUGACUCGGUCUGAAUGAAACGAACCUGAAAAGUUCUGAAUGGAUGGCACUGCUGUCCCUCCUGCGGUCCCGCAGUGACGCUGUCACAGCGUGACGCUGGUCUCAAAGGGUGGCACGACAGGAGCCCGCAGGAACACCGAGUCCAGACUUUUCACACAGUUUCAUUUCAGCGUUGCUUCAUUUGAAUUUUCUAAUAUUUAUCCAGCUGACAGAAAUUAUUAGAUCUAAGCCAGAAAACGAGGUUUCACACAGCUGCGCUGUUCAGCAUCAGGGUUCUAACAUAUGGUUUGAUGGGCCUGAAUUAAUCACUUGUUGCACACUAGUUAAAAUCAGCAGCCUGUUUUCUCCACAAUACUUCGGAAACAGCUCCGGUGUAUUUUUAACAUCACGGAAUUCAGUCAAAAUAAGAACAAAAAAAAGAAAAAACAAGAACGAAACUUUAAACAUAAAAACAUCUCAUUUUCGUCCCUAAAGCACAGCCUGGAUGUUUCAGUGUGAGCGGAGUCUUCCUCUGCUCAGUCCACCGCGCACUUUUUUUCAACCCUGUGCAGCUAAAUGGAGCGCUUACUGAAUGUCUCCAAAAACAUAUUUAGAAAAGAAAUAAAAAUAAUACUCUGCAGAAUGUGCGUUUACAGCCCUCUCUACAGCUCUGCAUGCAUGUGUGUUUUGAAUCCACGUCUCUUUAAGUCCCGUCUUAACGCAAAAUUCAGUGUGUAUCGUUUAAAAAACUAGUCGAGUUCGUUUUUAUUGAGGACGUAGAAUCCACGCCAAUACUGAAUUGCCGAACAGUUGAUUUGUAAUUUAGAGUCACCGUCGGGAGCCAAUUUACACUCUCCAACUGCACAGCCAUACACGAAAGAACAGCACUGUGUUGGUUUGUAGCUGAAGUGAAAUGCUGAAGCCAGCUGGGAGUUCGUGGUGGUAAAAACUCAAGCAGAGAGACGGUCAUGGGUUCAAAUCUAAUUUGCCUUGUGCGCAACACAAACUUGGGAAAAGCUGCUGAGUAGCAACAGAACUCGCGGCCCAAUGCUUUGCCUAGAAGGGAGCUUGUUACUGCGCACACUCGCUGUGUAACAGGCCUUCCUCCAAGAGUGAAACUGUGAGCUGCGAGGAACAUUGCACACUUCAGAGAAGGCCAGCAGACCUCUUGCUCUUUAUUCUGAAAAUUAUAUUUUGAACUGCAGCUGGCAACAAGCAAGUUUAUUGAUAACCCUAAAUGGAAAGUGGUGCACAGUUGUGCAACCGCAUCAAUUGUUGGCACUUGGCCUAAAGAAUAACAAACUAACAACAUCUCUGAUGACCAUAACGAUGCCGGGAUGAUUCUGGGAAACUGUUCAGUGGAGCUGGACACUGAUCUCACCAAAAACCUGCAGGACUCUUCUUAUAUUCUGCUGCCGGCUGCUGACCCGAUUAGUUAAUACUGUCACAGUCCUGCUGAAUAUUCACAAGUUUUCUUCUCUAAUCACACAUUUCCAAGCAGGAGCUCUGGUCAGAAUCAAGAAAUUUCAAAGUUUGAGCAGUUUAUAUGUCAGGGAGCCAACUGUGUCAUCUUCACUGACUGAAAUCAGGGAGCAGAUUUAGGAGCUCAGUAACAGCACACAUGUUCCUCUGAGUUCAUGUAAACAGAGCUGCUCAAGUUCAGUGAUUCAGAAUUUCUUUCCUUGCACUCCCACGUCACUGCCCACUUGUUAGAAAUCAAUAAUUGUUUACAUUUAAAACAUUUUAGGGAUUUUGGUGCGUGUGGAACUUUUGUUACACUUCACAUGUGUCUGUGGUGGUGACGGACACUUCCUCUGUAUUAAAAUGUGCACCUCUGAAGAUAUUUCAUAAUGUAAAGUGUUUGCAAAAACAUGAUAAAAUAAAAUGACUUUCAUUUGCAAA